rnacentral:rRNA from 1 species
AAAAAAAUUCCGGCACCAGGCACGACUGCGAUGAGGGGACGGAGAAGGCUAGGUCAUCCGGGCGUUGGUUGUCCCGGUUCAAGCGUGUAGGCAGAGGGCUUAGGCAAAUCCGGACCCUUAAUGCCGAGGCGUGACGACGAGUGCCCACGGGCACGAAGUGAUCGAUGCCACGCUUCCAAGAAAAGCCUCUAAGCUUCAGGUCGUGCGUGACCGUACCCCAAACCGACACAGGUGGGCAGGGUGAGAAUCCCCAGGCGCUUGAGAGAACUCGGGUGAAGGAACUAGGCAAAAUAGUACCGUAACUUCGGGAGAAGGUACGCCCCAAGUCAGUGAAGGCCCUGCGGCCGGAGCUAAACGGGGUUGCAGUGACCAGGCCGCUGCGACUGUUUAUUAAAAACACAGCACUCUGCCAACACGAAAGUGGACGUAUAGGGUGUGACGCCUGCCCGGUGCCGGAAGGUUAAUUGAUGGGGUUAUCCGCAAGGAGAAGCUCUUGAUCGAAGCCCCGGUAAACGGCGGCUGUAACAAUAACGGUCCUAAGGUAGCGAAAUUCCUUGUCGGGUAAGUUCCGACCUGCACGAAUGGCGUAACGAUGGCGGCGCUGUCUCCACCCGAGACUCAGUGAAAUUGAAUUCUCGGUUAAGAUGCCGAGUUCCCGCGGCUAGACGGAAAGGCCCCGUGAACCUUUACUAUAGCUUUGCACUGGACGUUGAACCGACUUGUGUAGGAUAGGUGGGAGGCUGUGAACUUGGGACGCCAGUUCCGAGGGAGCCAUCCUUGAAAUACCACCCUGGUCUGUUUGACGUUCUAACCUCGCUCCGUCAUCCGGAGCAGGGACCGUGCAUGGUGGGUAGUUUGACUGGGGCGGUCUCCUCCCAAAGCGUAACGGAGGAGCACGAAGGUACCCUAAUCCCGGUCGGAAAUCGGGAGUUUAGUGCAAAGGCAUAAGGGUGCUUGACUGCGAGACAGACACGUCGAGCAGGUACGAAAGUAGGUCUUAGUGAUCCGGUGGUUCUGUAUGGAAGGGCCAUCGCUCAACGGAUAAAAGGUACUCCGGGGAUAACAGGCUGAUACCGCCCAAGAGUUCAUAUCGACGGCGGUGUUUGGCACCUCGAUGUCGGCUCAUCACAUCCUGGGGCUGAAGUCGGUCCCAAGGGUAUGGCUGUCCGCCAUUUAAAGUGGUACGCGAGCUGGGUUUAGAACGUCGUGAGACAGUUCGGUCCCUAUCUGCCGUGGGCGUUGGAGACUUGAGGGAAGCUGCUCCUAGUACGAGAGGACCGGAGUGGACGAACCCCUGGUGUUCCGGUUGUCACGCCAGUGGCAUUGCCGGGUAGCUACGUUCGGACGGGAUAACCGCUGAAAGCAUCUAAGCGGGAAGCCCCUCCCAAGAUGAGGUCUCCCUAGGCACUCGAUGCCUCUGAAGGUCCGUUGAAGACUCCGACGUGGAUAGGCGGGAUGUGGAAGUCCAGUAAUGGAUGGAGCUAACCCGUACUAAUUGACCGU